rfam:Spinacia oleracea cultivar SynViroflay scaffold10954.con0004.1, whole genome shotgun sequence.
CACCUUUCUCGGCCUUUUGGCUAAGAUCAAGUGUAGUAUUUGUUCUUAUCAGUUUAAUAGUAUUUGAUAUGUGGGCUAAUGUCCCACAACGAUAUUAAAUUUAUUUUUUAAGGGGGAAGUCCCAAUCACAGUAGCUUGAGGUUGGGGUCUUCAAGUGUCGCCUAUGCGUUGCACUAUUGCACAGACCUGACGCACCCACA